rnacentral:tRNA from 1 species
AUGAAUUGUAUGUUAUAAAGGUUAAGUAUAGAUAGUUUAUUAGAUUAUUACGAUUGGUAGAGUAAGAUUAUGUUUAAAUCAAAAGGUUUAUGC